GGGGAUUUAGCUCAGCGGCAUAAGCGCCUGCCUUGAAAACAGGCAGUUGAGUUCAAUCCCUG
rnacentral:tRNA from 1 species